rnacentral:lncRNA from 1 species
CUCUAAACCAAGACCCUAAUAUCUAUUGGAAUUGCACAAUAAACAUUGCUUGUUUUUUCUGUGUCCACAUUAAACUUGUGAAAAAAGUGGAACGUAGAACACUAUGUGGUGAUAAAUUCAGAGACUUAGAGCAUAGUACAGCGUAUGGUUUGUGUGUGGGUGGUGCUAUGGCAGUAUUAUAGGAGGGAAUCUGUCGGUAUUAGGAUACUGUAAGUCAGUGGAAGAUUCUAGAUGUAGGUAGUACAGGAGCAGUUUCUCAUUGCCUGAUACUAUGAGCUAAUGACACUGUGAGUGCUGGAUUUGAAGUAGUUAUGUGCUUAUUUUUCUUGAGCAAGAAUGCAUGACAAGGUGAAGUGCUUCACCUAGCUCCCUCCGCUCAGCAGCAGUCAGGUGGCUGGGCUCUGUGAGGUCACAGUGGUUUGCUUGCUUGCUGCAGCCUGGUAGGUGUUCAUGGAGGAGCUGAUCUCUGUCUUAGGCGUGCACUUUGCUUCCACGCCUGCUUUUAUAUCGUCCACAAGGCCGGUUUGUACUUUCUUGAAACAAAUAACCAAUCGAUAUACACAAAUAUGCUUUUAAAAAGUGAGCUUUUUUUAAAUGAAUCAGAAUUUUGUCUGACUCAUGAGGCGGAAGCGAUGGUAGGGAGAGGUUCCUCUCUGUGCAUAAGCAUUUGGCUUGUUGAGAUCUCUGCAUUUUAUAAAUGCUUCCUACUGAGAAAGCAUUUCUUAAGUCUUUGCUUGUACCAGGUCAUUUUUGCUGGGGUGGGAAAGGGUGGUUUUUGCUUUGGGAGCGGGUAGUGGGGUUUUGUUGAUGCUUUCUGUGUUCUGAUGCAGUAACAGUGAGUUGCGGUGAAAACUGUGUGUGCUGUUGCCUUGGGAAUUGUAUGGAGUUUUUCACAUGGCUUUGUGUAGGCUAAUAGAAAUAUAUGCACUGGGAUAUUCAAGUGUAAUGUUUUUUAACAGUUCACAAGUUUAAGUUAUUAAAAAUAACACAAAAUUAAAUCACUUUAAGGCCAGAUAAUUUUAGACUUAACAUUGUUUUACAAAUCUUUAAAAUACAUUUAGAAUCAAAAUUUAUGUGUUUAGUUAUCGUUUAAGUAAUAUAAGCUUUCUUAAAGUCCCAUACAUCAGACCGUGGCAGCUAAUUUUGUAACAAGCAUUCAUAUGAACUACCUAUGACAUAUAUUAAACUGAUUGACAAAAUCUGUGUGCUGCUUUGACUUUUUGUAGUUGUCCUACAAGAAUAUGUAUACUGUUCUCUUAUUAAAAGCAGGAAAAUCGUUUUCCUUC